AGAGGAUAGUUCGGGGUUUCAUCCAUUACAGGCUCGAGUGUCGGUGUUGCCAGAGUCGAGGUAUACCGAAUGAAGGUUAGAAUUAGACAAGAGGUUAUAAGAAUGAAGCAGGUACACGUAUUAAACAAAAGGGAUUCCACCUUCAGCUGACCCGACCUGCCCUUUUCAAUUCCAUUCCACUAUAAGGAGUGGCGAGAGGGAGAGCCCCACAGCACUGGGUUAGUUUCUAUCUUCUUUAAGCACUGGGUUAGUUUCUAUCUUCUUUAAAUAAGUAAACUCUAUUCUUUGACUUACUAUAUGAGAACGGAUUCCACUUAUUUCCUCUUUACUACUAUUGUUGCUUGGCCU
rnacentral:lncRNA from 1 species